UGGUCCUACGGGGGGCAGCAGUGGGGAAUAUUGGGCAAUGGGCGCAAGCCUGACCCAGCAACGCCGCGUGAAGGAAGAAGGCUUUCGGGUUGUAAACUUCUUUUGUCAGGGACGAAGCAAGUGACGGUACCUGACGAAUAAGCCACGGCUAACUACGUGCCAGCAGCCGCGGUAAUACGUAGGUGGCAAGCGUUAUCCGGAUUCACUGGGUGUAAAGGGAGCGUAGACGGCCAUGCAAGCCUGUAGUGAAAGCCCGGGGCCCAACCCCGGGACUGCUCUGGGAACUGUGCGGCUGGCGUGCGGGG
rnacentral:rRNA from 1 species